UACAGAGACUGCGAGCGUUAUCCGGAUUUACUGGGCGUAAAGGGUGUGCAGGCGGGCUGUUAAGUGGUGCAUGAAAUCUCCGCGCUUAACGUGGAGAGGCUGUGCCAGACUGGCAGUCUAGAGUACGGAGAGAGGGUUGUGGAAAUUCCGGGUGUAGUGGUGAAAUGCGUAGAGAUCCGGAGGAACACCAGAGGCGAAGGCGGCAACCCUGGCUCGUAACUGACGCUCAUACACGACAGCA
rnacentral:rRNA from 1 species